rnacentral:misc_RNA from 1 species
GAAAUGCGAUAAGUAAUGUGAAUUGCAGAAUUCAGUGAAUCAUCGAAUCUUUGAACGCACAUUGCGCCCGCCAGUAUUCUGGCGGGCAUGCCUGUCCGAGCGUCAUUUCAACCAUCAAGCCCCCGGGCUUGUGUUGGGGACCUGCGGCUGCCCGCAGGCCCUGAAAACCAGUGGCGGGCUCGCUGUCACACCGAGCGUAGUAGCAAUCACCUCGCUCAGGGCGUGCUGCGGGUUCCGGCCGUUAAACAGCCUUACAAAACCCAAGGUUGACCUCGGGUCAGGUAGGAAGACCCGCUGAACUUGAGC